GACGAACGCUGGCGGCGUGCCUAAUACAUGCAAGUCGAGCGGACCUGAUGGAGUGCUUGCACUCCUGAUGGUUAGCGGCGGACGGGUGAGUAACACGUAGGCAACCUGCCCGUAAGACCGGGAUAACUACCGGAAACGGUAGCUAAUACCGGAUAAUCAAGCCUCUCGCAUGAGAAGCUUGGGAAAGGCGGAGCAAUCUGUCACUUACGGAUGGGCCUGCGGCGCAUUAGCUAGUUGGUGGGGUAACGGCUCACCAAGGCGACGAUGCGUAGCCGACCUGAGAGGGUGAACGGCCACACUGGGACUGAGACACGGCCCAGACUCCUACGGGUAGCAG
rnacentral:rRNA from 1 species